GGGGCGUAUAGCUCAGCUGGGAGAGGCGCCUGCUUUGCACGCAGGGAGGUCUGCGGUUCGAUCCCGCAUAGCUCCACCA
rnacentral:tRNA from 1 species